GCCCGGUUCAUCUUGGUGCCUGCCAAGUCAGAUGCCUUGUACUGAUAUUUUAAAUAUAGACAACAUUAACUAUUUCACUGCCUAUCAAAAUAAGAAAAAAGAAAGAAGAUGAAGGAGCUGUGUGUUCAGCUGUGAUUAAGAUUGCAUCUCAGCACUUGACUUCGUUAUUGAAGCAAUUACUUUGAUGCUGUGAGCUCAGAAGUUUACAUGAAAGCCUGGCUUUGGUGAGCAAGACAACUUGGAUUGUAUCUUAGAAAACCAGGAUCCUCUUGAAUCUUUCUGCCUUUGCCCAUGGUUUCAGCCUGCAAAGAUUGACACGACGUUUUAUUUGUAUUGAUCCGUCAGAAAUGUCGGGACAGGAGUUCCUGGUUUAUGUUGGCUGACCUCUAAGAGUACUGGAGGGACCGACAGGACUCUGAGAUACAAGUUGAAACACAAGCCGCAGUUUUUCUCAGCGCAAUAGAAGUGCGGUGAGGAAGGGAGACCGCGCGCCCUUCCGCAGGGCUGAGCAGGAGGAGGAGGAGAA